CUCCGCCCGGUCCCACGCAGGUCCGCUCGCCGGCUGCCUGCGCCCCGCCAGCCAUGGUGAACCUAGGCCUGUCCCGAGUGGACGACGCCGUGGCCAACAAGCACCCGGGCCCGAGUGUGCCCAAAGGAGGGACAGGAUGGACGGGGAACUGAGCCUUCAACCCCCUCCCCAUCCCAGGGACUGGGGGAGUAUGCCGCGUGCCAGUCGAACGCCUUCAUGAAGGGCAUUUUCACCUUUGUCACAGGUAGGCUGGGUCCAGGUGUGUCUGCCUGGUGUGUGACGAGACCUCACCCUCCUGUCUCACCCUGACUCCCCAGCAGGUGGCGCCGGGUCGCCUGCCCGCGGUGCUGGGAGCCCGGCAGGUGUGGCGGGCACUCAGGCUGUGCCCCGGCGGUCCCCUGGCCAGCCCCGUGGACGAGCUGGCUGAUGGGGACCAUGGCUCUUGGCAGGCACAGGUGCGACCGUCGGCCUGCAGAUGCUCGUUCGGAAGAAGUUUCCGUACCCCUUUCAGUGGAACGUGCUGGUGGCCGUGGGUGGGUACUCCAGGGCUGGUGCCUGGGGCCCCUUAAAUGCACCCCAGUUGUCGCUGGCUCUUCAGCAGAAGUGGGUUCCCACUAGGGGUGGGGGGGCUGUGGUUCCGGGCAUCCCUGCCUCCUGGGGUGGCGCUCUGUUCUCAGUGGGAGCCCUGCCGGGCCCCACCACUGCCAUCUGCCCAGAAGAAGCCUGUGCCCUGACCUCCCUUCCCUAAGAAGUGCAGAUGCGCAGGUCCCCCAGCCCACUGGCCCCUGCCCUCCACUCCCCAGUCGCAGGCUCAGUGGCCAGCUACUGGGUGACCCGAGUGGAGUCGCAGAAAUGCAGCAACCUUUGGCUCUUCCUGGAGACGGGGCAGCUCCCCAAAGACAUGGAGACAGGUCGGCGCCACUAGGAGGGAUCCCGCAGGGCACAGAAGACCUGGGGUCAGAGAGUUCUAGAACACAGCCCUCGGCACCUCCACACCCCAGGCUGGCCUCCCCACACCCAUGUCCCCUGCACGCGUGUGUGGCCAGCUCUGUCAAACCUGUGGAAACUGCUCCCGCCCAGCCUGGCUGCCCAGGAGGUCAGGCCAGGAGGUGCUGUCCCUGCGGUGGCUGGCCUCCUGCAGGGCAGCGAGAGACGUGGUGGACCCAGAGCUAGAGGAGACCAGGCCUGUCUCGUGCGUAUUUGGGGGCAGCAGCUCUGCGGUGUGUGUGGGGUACUUCUGCACUCUCUGCUGCUGACACUCCCUUUCUGGCCCCUGCAUUCCCCCCACCCACCUGAGUGGACUAAUAAACACC